ACUGUUCCUCGGAUUUCCAUAGGGGUUAGGCCUUUUUGUUCCAGAUCCCUCCACUCGCUUUAUCUUCCUCAGCACAAAACCUCCGAUCUUUUCCUAUCUUCUUCUUCACCAAUCCUGGGUACUUCAUCGACCUCUAUUACAGCCUUUUCUCCUCUUCUCGUCUGACCAUCUUCCCUCCGCUUGCUCUGGAGUUUCAUCUUCUGAGAAUCAUCAACCUCCACCAAUUCCUACCCUACAAACUGAGUUUCAGAAUCGUCGGCCCCCACCACCGACCCACCGCCCCACAUACGAUUUUACCCAGUAAAAUCGGGCAGUUUCAUUGACAGACGAGCACACCCAGGUUUGUGUUCUAUUCUCUUUAAGUCCUCUAUUUCAUUCCUACGGUUCCUUUUUGGUUUCCUCCAGAACAUAUCAACAAGUAACAGGUGUGAGCCUUGUCGACCGCCGAUGUGGAUUGAAUCGAUGGCCGAUUUCAUUAUUGAAACAAGUUUUCAAGUAGAGGACGCAACCUAGCAUCUGGGGUUGUCGUCGGGACCUUAGCGUACUUUCUAUGGGUCAAGCCUUCCCAGACCAAUUCCAGAUCUUCAGGUUCGAUUGUGUUCUUAUAUCAACUUCAUGUCUCUUUUGACCAAGAACCCUCAUAAUUAACUUCAUUUACCGAACGUUUUUUGUUUGUAGGAAACUACGCUCAUUUAUGGGAACAAAAGUAGAAGUAAUACUCCUGGAAUUGACUGAGAUGAUUUUAGGAGAGGCGUAAAGGUAAUUUCGUUACUUCAAAGAAGAGAGAAGGAUCCAUGUUAAUAGCUUACUAUGUGUAAAAUAUCGUCAUGUCUACUAAUUGAAAAUUUGAACUCACUUAUAUGACUUAUGAGUCUGGCGAUUUUUUUACUUAUGAGAUUUUUCUAUUGGAACAAGUUUUCAAGUAAAUGUGGGUUCCAAAGGGUGGUGUAUUUCCUUACAUUAGUCUAAUCAGGUAAAUAUUUCCUUGGUCAGACCUUAGUACUUAUUGUUGGUUAGAAUGAUUUAGUUUUGAACCCCCUUUCACAUUGAGAUCUUAUGUUAGAAAAUUUACAAUACAUUCAUGUGGAAUAGAUCUUCAUGUGUACUUUUUUGAUGUUUUCGUCUUUAUUUUUUAGUCAAAUUGGCAAGGUCCGAGAAAGGUGUGUACUCAAUAUUUUCUUCCGAUAUAUCAUGAAAUUUUGAUUUCAUUUCAGAUUGUGGCACAAAGGAAAGCAAGAUUAAACAACCUAAUUUAACUGAAAUGCAAUUGUUAAGGGAGGAGAUUAAAACUAUGCUUUUGUAUUGUUUUUUGCCCUUUCUCCUAAGUUUUCUUCAUUUUUAUCAUACUGGACCAAAAUUUAAGAUAUUUGUAGCUUUUUAACAUUCAUGGAAGGAAUUUUAGUUAUUUGGAGUGUGCUAUUUGUGUAAGUGGGCGCAUGUAAGUUAUGGAUAGAAGUUGUUAAUGUUGAAGUAGGUAUUGUGCAGACAAUAGACCAGCAUGGGAUUAUGUGGCUUGUCAUGGGAGCUGCAGCUGAGAAAGUAUAUUCAAAGUAAACCUAUACAAUGACUUUCUUUAUACAUUAAGUUAGAAGAAAAAUAUGUAUAAAUGUAAAUCAACUUCCGUUUUUCUCCCUCUAUUUAUCUUAGUGAAUCCAAUUCUUCAAAAUUACAGGGAUAUGUCAGAGCUCAUGUCUAAUAAAUCAAUGUAUGUUUGCCAAAAUGCCCCACUCACGUGCCAAAUAUGGUUUACUUGUAAAGGGCAACUCAUUUAUACAAGGUAUUGUUGUUAAUUUAUUGAUAAAGACAUAAAUAGCCCUAGAUUGACCAAUGUGGUGUUAUAGGGAGCAAUCUGUUGCUUUUAGGUGGGAUAUAAGAAGUAUCAAGGCGUUAUCAUUUGUGCCAGCUGGCAAGGAGACAAUGCUGACACUUUAUCAUGCAAUUGAUGCUAAUGUGGAAGCGAAAUCCAUUCGGUGUUUGGAGAAUUCAAUGAAAAGUGUGUGUAGCCCUUCAACCUCAAAUCAUUUGACGAUUGAUGAUACAAAAGAUCAAUUGCUUCAAUCACUUUUUCUUAUAUGUUUUUGGAAUAAUACCACAAAUUUUGUUUAUUUCAUUUUGGAAAAAAUAUAAUAUUAAUGGGUGUUAAAUGGAUUUUUUUCCAGGAAAAACCACAAGGGCUUUCAGCUUCCGAGUUGCAUUAUGAACUAGAGUAUUCCAAAACAGAAAGUAUUUGAAGAGUCGAUAAGAAGAUGCUAAAGACAGUUUGCAUAAGAUGAAUUUCUUUUAAAUUAUUAAUAUAAAAUACAGGUUUAGGUUAUGAAUCAGGAGAUACUUUUAUUGGAUGGAUCAGUCUUAAAUAGAAGUAUUUUACCACACAAAAAUGUUUGAAACAGAUAUUCUACAAAUAUCAUGUGGCAAAGCACGAGUAUAUUAUUUGAUUA
rnacentral:lncRNA from 1 species